AGUGCUGGGGACUGCUUGAGGAGUAGUACAGAGGUGGAAUACAGAAUUGGUGGGCGGGUAGCCUGGUAAGGCUAGGGCUUGGCAGGUCCUGAGGGCCUCAGGGAGCUCCAGGAGCGUUUUAACUAGUUGGUGCCUUAGAAUGAAGAGUGUCAGGCUGGGCACAGUGGCUCACGCCUAUAAUCCCAGCACUUUAGGAAGCCGAGGUGGGUGGAUCAUGAGGUCAACAGUUUAAGACCAGCCUGACCAACACAGUGAAACCAUGUCUCUACUAAAAAUAUGAAAAUGAGCCAGGCUUGAUGGCGAGUGCCUAUAAUCCCAGCUACUCGGGAGGCUGAGGCAGGAGAAUCGCUUGAACCCGGAAGACAGAGUUUGUGGUGAGCUGAGAUCGCACCACUGCACUCCAGCCUGACGAAAGAGCAAGUCUCCAUGUGAAAAGAAAAGAGUGUCUGGAAGGAGAGACCGGAGUCAGGGAGGCCUAGCCUUGGGUUGGGUGCUGGCUGCUGGCUGCUGAGACGGCGGUGAUGAAGACAGUUCCUGGCUUCUGUGGAGAGCUCACAUGUUAACUGGGAAGACCACCAUCCGACAGCCAACCUCACAAACUACCUGGAAGAGGAAGACAGGCUUGAAAGGACCCAUGGCUCUCACUUUGCAGAUGGGCAUCAAGGCUCUGGAUGGUGAUUUGAGAGCGUGGCAGUCUGCAGGACAGCCCUUUUUGGAUGGAAGGUCCUACGCUCCAAGAGAGAGAAUCCGAGAUUACAGAAAUUGUGUUUUCCUGACUCAUGCCUUGGGCUGAGAGUACAUUCUUGGCUCCUGGACAGCAUCCCACAGAAGAGCUGCCUACAACGGCCCUGGCUCCCCAAGGGAGGGGCAGACCCUGGACUGGCUGCCGGAGCUUUCUGGGCUCUAAUUUUAUCCCAAUGUGAAAAGAAGGGGAUUAAACUUCCUUCCUAUUAACAUUCUAAAAUUAAAAGUGAGACACUGUUGACGGCGCCCAGCACAGGACCUGGGAGUGGCAAAAUGCCCCAUAAAUGUCACUUCCUUCUCAUCUACUCCCUGCCUUCCCAUGGAUAUGCCAUAAACAGACCUGAUUCAAAACCAAACUCUGACUCUGGCUUGCCGUGUGCCCUGACCAUGCCGCUUAGACUCCCUGAUCCUCAGUUUCUUCCUGCUGAA